AUCCAGCUAUCUCCAAGCACGUACUCCUUACUCAUCGGCAGUAAUCAACAAUAGACAAUCUGGAGAGUUAGAUAACGGGUUUGGUGGUAUUCUGUGUACUCACUAUUCUCCAAUCCGUCCGAGUACAGUCAGCACUUACAUCAGAAAAUGUUAACAUAAAUUUAGUUGUACUCUAGUCUGAACUGAAGUUACUUUGGAUUGUAAUCGUAAUAAAAGUAAGACAAGGUAUAUAUAAUAGACGAGAGCAAGUACGAGCAUAUUACAAUAUACACACAAAGAAGCGAAGUCUAUAAUAUGAAAAAGGUGUUAGCAAGGUAGAAUAGAAGCAGUUGAUAGUGUACGAGGUUGUUCUCUGUUUCUAACGGUGCGCUGGUUAUUGGAAAGCUGUAUAGUACUAGUACUGUACAAGUACCUGUGUUUGUGCGGAGUACAGAGCAUGUUUCUGUACAAAAUGACAGAGUAAUAGAAGUGAUCGAUUGGUCUUAUUGUCGAAAUAUCCAGCAUAUGCGACGAACGGUAUAGGAACAUAAUACAAAAAAGUGUAACCAAGAUAAGGAGACAAAGGAUUUAAAAACAAGGAUGAAUAAUAAUGCAUGCUAUGCACUUUUGAAAGACGAUGCGGGAGUCUUGUCCUCUGUUUGUGUAUAUGUAUGGAAAGAUAUACAUAUAUUGUUGAAUAAUGCUUGAGCAUCUGCCUGGCAUACGCUCCGCCUACCAAUUCCGCUCGUUAAUUUUCGACGACCCGUUUUAGUUAAAAACUUCCUUUACUUAUACUUCUUAUCCUCUAUCCUCUACUCUUUCAUUUAAAAGCUACUUCGUUGUUAUCACAUGGCUUUUCUCUUCCUUGCCACGCCGGAUUAUGUUUUAUUUUUUCCCUGAUGGCUUAUCUCGGAUGCUCCCAAAUACAAAUACUAUACUACAGAUCCCGUUGCUUCUUUAGAGAAUAUUUUACAUCGAUCUCGUAUAGGCAAGGUCGUGGAUUUUUUUUUUUCGACUAAUUUAUAGUCAUUAUUUUAUUAUUUAAGUAUAUGAUUAUUUAUUUGUGUUUAAAAUUACCGUAACAACUGGUUUCCUCGAGGUAAACUCGUUUCUUUUUAUUUUCGCUGUUGUAAAUCUUAUUGACGAUAUUUUGAUUAUGUAAUUAUACUUUAUUAAGUCUUAUCUUAAUUAUAAUGUGUCCAGUUGAAAAAAUAAAAAUUGUUGAUAAUU